rnacentral:sRNA from 1 species
GGCAAGUGAGGAAUAUGAAAUACCCUUAUGGCUGAAUCAGGGUGAAGGGGAAGCUUGUAAGCGUGGAAGACGCUCUACUCAAACUAAAAAGUUCGGGUUCUGAUCCAGCAGAUGAAAAGAGAGGCCUGAGAGGCUGCUGUUUUAACUUGCUCCCAGCCGAGCGUGAUGGCUCAUGCCUGUAAUCCUAGCACUUUGAGAGGCCGAGGUGUGCGAAUCACGUGAAGACAGGAGUUUGAGACCAGCCUGGGCAACAUGAGACAGGGCCUUACUCUGCUGCCCAGGCUGGAGUACAGUGGCACAAUCAUAGCUGAUUGCAGCCUCAAACUGCUGGGCUCAAGCGAAACUCCCGCGUCAGCCUCCUGAGUCCCUGGGACUACAGAUUCAAGUGAUUCUUCUGCCUCAGCCUCCCAAGUAGCUGGAAUUACAGGUACUGAGGAUGGAGGACAAGGGGUCAGUAGAGACCCAGCUUUGAGCAGAGCCCUGCCUAAGGUCUAGGGCUUGAUCUGGCCCUAACCACAGUCACUUUGAGGUAUGUAACCCCUCCUGGCUUCAAUUUCCUGACUUUUAGGAGUGUAUUAAUCCUAUUUCAUAGGUAGAGCACUUAGUAAGAAAUUGGUGGCCAGGUGUGGUGGCUCACGCCUGUAAUCCCAGCACUUUGGGAGGCUGAGGGGGUUGAUUGCUUGAGCCCAGGAAUUUGAGACCAGCCUGGGCAACAUAGUGAGACCUUGCCUCUACAAAAAAA